GAUAAUAUUAUAUUAAUUAAAAUUGAAGUCUAAAGUCUGUGUGUAAAAUAUAAUAAAUUAUUGUUUGUUGUACUCAUAACUGAUACUAUUGUCUAUUAUGCUUAUAAACCAUAGUGAAUUGCCAUUGUUGCUGCGUAACUGUUUUCGGGAAAUUCACUCAAUUUAUUAGCCAGCUUGCCAGCUUGGCUUUCUCAACAUAAUCUCUAUAAGCGCAGCUCGCCGCGCACGCUCACUUACGCAUCGCCAACGCCAAGUGCCGACUGCUGCAGUGCUGAGAUAUUGUUAACGUUAAGUGUCAAUAUUCUCUAUCGUCUUCAUACAGGCGUUAUAAUUAUUUUUAAAGUCGUUUAUUACACUAAUACAUUCAACCGCGUUUAACCGAUACCGGUACUUUUUUUUAUCUAUUAAAUCGUACAAGAUAUACCUCAGCCUGCUCGGGAAAAUGUCCAACAACGACUGUAGAAUUUACGUGGGAAACCUGCCGCCUGACAUACGCACGAAAGACAUACAAGAUUUGUUCUACAAAUUUGGUAAAGUGUUGUUUGUCGAUUUGAAAAAUCAGAGAGGUCCACCUUUUGCCUUUGUCGAAUUCGACGAUCCUAGAGAUGCAGAAGAUGCAGUCCAUGCUAGAGAUGGUUAUGAUUAUGAUGGCUACAGAUUACGUGUAGAGUUUCCACGUGGAAAUGGUCCACAUAGAAGUGGUGGUGGUGGCAGUAGUAGUGGUGGUGGAAGUUACAAUAGAGGAGGUGCUAGUGGUGGAAGUGGAAGAAGCCGGGGUCCUCCAGCUAGGCGCUCUCAGUAUAGAGUACUUGUUACUGGAUUACCUGCGUCAGGAAGUUGGCAAGAUUUAAAAGAUCAUAUGCGUGAAGCAGGAGAUGUGUGUUAUGCAGAUGUAUACAAAGAUGGAUCUGGUGUAGUUGAGUUUUUACGUUAUGACGAUAUGAAAUAUGCUGUUCGUAAGCUUGAUGACUCAAGAUUCAGGUCUCACGAGGGUGAAGUAACAUAUAUUAGAGUAAAAGAUGAUUAUGGUGGUGGAAGCAGUCGUCGCAGUCGUGAUUAUAAUAGUCGCAGUCGUAGUCGCUCAGCUAGCUAUUCACCUAGAGAUCGUGGAACACCAACAUAUUCACCUGUUAGAAAAAGUCGUAGUUAUUCAAGAUCUCGUUCCCGUUCAUAAUAUUGAGGAUAACCAAAUGACUUCCUGUAUCAAAUCAAUGGAAAACAAUUUUCUGAUGAUAAAAAUGUAUUGCUUACUAUACUGGACAACAUCUUUACCCUCUUGUUAAAAAUCAGUGGACAGAAAACAGAAUUCAUUAACUAUGUUAUUCACAAAAUCACUGUACAGCAAUCUGAUCAAUACAUCGUACAUUUUAUUGCUAAUAUUACUUAUGACUACCACACAGAUAAGCUUACAAGAAGCUUCAAAUAAUAUUUAUACUCUUA
rnacentral:misc_RNA from 1 species